rnacentral:lncRNA from 1 species
GGUUUAGGUCAUCUAAAAGCCCAAAGCCAAGAAUAGAAACUCACGAAAAUAGAAACCUCCAAGAAUAGAAACUUCCAACUUUUAGAAACUUUGGUUGCCAAUUCCGAUUUAGGAAAGAUCAACCCAAAAUGGAAACUUUUAGGCUUAGCUUUCCUACUUCAAGUAGGAAACCUCAAAUCUUCAACUCUUCAAUUCCAUCCCAACCUUGUGUUCCAAGCAUGUCCUUUUUCAAUUCAAGCUCACUUUUUGCUCCAAAAAGCUCCAAAUUGCAUCAUUUCAUGUAAUACGUCCUUUAAACCUGAAAACACAUGAAAGUAGCUUAAAAGACUACUUUAA